rnacentral:rRNA from 1 species
GCAAGUCGAACGAGAAAGGGAUUGCUUGCAAUCCUGAGUAGAGUGGCGCACGGGUGAGUAACACGUAGAUAAUCUACCUUCAAGCCUGGAAUAACUAUUCGAAAGGAUAGCUAAUACCGGAUAAAGUUGAUUAACCUAAGUUAAUUUAUGAAAGAUUGCCUCUUCUUGAAAGCAAUUGUUUGGAGACGAGUUUGCGGACCAUUAGUUAGUUGGUGGGGUAACGGCCUACCAAGACUACGAUGGUUAGCUGGUCUGAGAGGAUGAUC